rnacentral:rRNA from 1 species
CCCCGAGCUUAACUUGGGAACUGCGUUUUGAACUGGUAAGCUAGAGUAUNUCAGAGGGGGAUAGAAUUCCACGUGUAGCAGUGAAAUGCGUAGAGAUGUGGAGGAAUACCGAUGGCGAAGGCAGCCCCCUGGGAUAAUACUGACGUUCAUGCUCGAAAGCGUGGGUAGCAAACAGGAUUAGAUACCCUGGUAGUNCACGCCCUAAACGAUGUCAAUUAGCUGUUGGGCAACAUGAUUGCUUAGUAGCGUAGCUAACGCGUGAAAUUGACCGCCUGGGGAGUACGGUCGCAAGAUUAAAACUCAAAGGAAUUGACGGGGACCCGCACAAGCGGUGGAUGAUGUGGAUUAAUUCGAUGCAACGCGAAGAGCCUUACCUGGUCUUGACAUGUACGGAAUCUUCCAGAGACGGAAGAGUGCCUUCGGGAGCCGUAACACAGGUGCUGCAUGGCUGUCGUCAGCUCGUGUCGUGAGAUGUUGGGUUAAGUCCCGCAACGAGCGCAACCCUUGUCAUUAGUUGCCACCAUUCAGUUGGGCACUCUAAUGAGACUGCCGGUGACAAACCGGAGGAAGGUGGGGAUGACGUCAAGUCCUCAUGGCCCUUAUGACCAGGGCUUCACACGUCAUACAACGGUCGGUACAGAGGGUAGCCAAGCCGCGAGGUGGAGCCAAUCUCAGAAAACCGAUCGUAGUCCGGAUUGCACUCUGCAACUCGAGUGCAUGAAGUCGGAAUCGCUAGUAAUCGCAGGUCAGCAUACUGCGGUGAAUACGUUCCCGGGUCUUGUACACACCGCCCGUCACACCAUGGGAGUGGGGGAUACCAGAAGUAGGUAGGCUAACCGCAAGGAGGCCGCU